rnacentral:rRNA from 1 species
AAAGGAAUUGACGGGGCCCGCACAAGCGGAGGAACAUGUGGUUUAAUUCGAUGAUACGCGAGGAACCUUACCUGGGCUAGAACGCAUUCGGAAUCAGGCCGAAAGGCCUGCGCCAGCGAUGGCCGCUUGCGAGGUGCUGCAUGGUUGUCGUCAGCUCGUGCCGUGAGGUGUCGGGUUAAGUCCCAUAACGAGCGCAACCCCUACUGCUAGUUGCCAGCGGGUCAUGCCGGGGACUCUAGCGGAACUGCCAGCGUAAGCUGCGAGGAAGGUGGGGAUGACGUCAAAUCAGCACGGCCCUUACGUCCAGGGCUACACACGUGUUACAAUGGCCGGUACAGAGGGCAGCCACCCCGCGAGGGGGCGCGAAUCCCGAAAGCCGGUCCCAGUUCGGAUCGGAGUCUGCAACCCGACUCCGUGAAGCUGGAUUCGCUAGUAAUCGCGCAUCAGCCACGGCGCGGUGAAUACGUUCCCGGGCCUU